rnacentral:rRNA from 1 species
AACGAACGCUGGCGGCAGGCUUAACACAUGCAAGUCGAACGCCCCGCAAGGGGAGUGGCAGACGGGUGAGUAACGCGUGGGAAUCUACCCAGUUCUACGGAAUAACCCAGGGAAACUUGGACUAAUACCGUAUACGCCCUACGGGGGAAAGAUUUAUCGGAAUUGGAUGAGCCCGCGUUGGAUCAGCUAGUUGGUGGGGUAAUGGCCUACCAAGGCGACGAUCCAUAGCUGGCCUGAGAGGAUGAUCAGCCACACUGGGACUGAGACACGGCCCAGACUCCUACGGGAGGCAGCAGUGGGGAAUAUUGGACAAUGGGCGCAAGCCUGAUCCAGCCAUGCCGCGUGAGUGAUGAAGGCCUUAGGGUUGUAAAGCUCUUUCAGUGGGGAAGAUAAUGACGGUACCCACAGAAGAAGCCCCGGCUAACUUCGUGCCAGCAGCAGCCGCGGUAA